GAUGAACGCUGGCGGCGUGCCUAAUACAUGCAAGUCGAGCGAACGGACGAGAAGCUUGCUUCUCUGAUGUUAGCGGCGGACGGGUGAGUAACAUGUGGAUAACCUACCUAUAAGACUGGGAUAACUUCGGGAAACCGGAGCUAAUACCGGAUAAUAUUUUGAACCGCAUGGUUCAAAAGUGAAAUACGGUCUUGCUGUCACUUAUAGAUGGAUCCGCGCUGCAUUAGCUAGUUGGUAAGGUAACGGCAUACCAGGGCAACGAUGCAUAGCCGACCGGAGGGGGUGGUAGGCCACACUGGAGCUGAGACAGGGUCAUGGCGCCUGCGGGAGGCAGCAGUAGGGAAUCUUCCGCAAUGGGCGGAAGCCUGACAGAACAACGCCGCGUGAGUUGUGGAAGUCUUCGGAUCGUAAAACUCUGUUAUUAGGGAAGAACAUAUGUGUAAGGAACUGUGCACAUCUUGACGGUACCUGAUCAAGAAGCCACGGCUAACUACGUG
rnacentral:rRNA from 1 species